rnacentral:rRNA from 1 species
AUUGAACGCUGGCGGCAGGCCUAACACAUGCAAGUCGAACGAGUGGCGGACGGGUGAGUAAUGUCUGGGAAACUGCCCGAUGGAGGGGGAUAACUACUGGAAACGGUAGCUAAUACCGCAUACCAUCGGAUGUGCCCAGAUGGGAGUGGCUAGUAGGUGGGGUAACGGCUCACCUAGGCGACGAUCCCUAGCUGGUAUGAGAGGAUGACCGGCCACACUGGAAAUGAGACACGGUCCAGACUCCUACGGGAGGCAGCAGUGGGGAAUAUUGCACAAUGGGCGCAAGCCUGAUGCAGCCAUGCCGCGUGUAUGAAGAAGGCCUUCGGGUUGUAAAGUACUUUCAUCGAGGAGGCGUUACUCGCAGAAGAAGCACCGGCUAACUCCGUGCCAGCAGCCGCGGUAAUUC